GCGCGGUAGCUGUUACAGGCUAUAAAAUCGCACAAACCUCUACGCCCCUUCUUCCCUCUCAUUCAUUUCCAAUCUUAACCUAGAAAGCCCCAAACCUCUCUCUCUCUCUCCUCUCUCUCUCUCUCUCUCUCUACUCUCUACUACUACUACUACUACUACUACUACUACUACUACUACUACUACUACUACGUACGACGUACGUACGUACGUACGUACGUACGUACGUACGUACGUANNNNNNNNNNNNNNNNNNNNUACGUACGACGUAAUAAACUACGACAACCAACCUACCUACCGUCCCUUCCUUCCUCCUCUACUCUACUACUACUACUACUAACGAACCACCCAACCUCUCUCUCUCUCUCUCUCUCUCUCUCUCUCUAUUUCUCAAUCAUAAACCCACAAAACCCCCUUUUUCUCUCUAAAAACCAGAAUAAUCUUAAAGGAGA
rnacentral:lncRNA from 1 species